rnacentral:rRNA from 1 species
AUAACAUUGCGAGGAGGGCAUCUGAUUGCUAAUUAAAGUUUCGGCGGUAUAUGAUUGGUGUGCGUUUGAUUAGCUAGUUGGUAGGGUAACGGCCUACCAAGGCGACGAUCAAUAGCUGGCGUGAGAGCGCGACCAGCCACACUGGAACUGAGACACGGUCCAGACUCCUACGGGAGGCAGCAGUAGGGAAUAUUGGACAAUGGAGGAAACUCUGAUCCAGCCAUGCCGCGUGAUAGAUGAAGGCCCUCUGGGUUGUAAAUAUCUUUUAUCUGGGAAGAAACACUCCUAUUCUUAGGAACUUGACGGUACCAGAGGAAUAAGCACCGGCUAACUCCGUG